UUUAUCGGAGAGUUUGAUCCUGGCUCAGGACGAACGCUGGCGGCGUGCCUAAUACAUGCAAGUCGAGCGGACAGAGGGGAGCUUGCUCCCUGAUGUUAGCGGCGGACGGGUGAGUAACGCGUGGGUAACCUGCCUGUAAGACUGGGAUAACUCCGGGAAACCGGGGCUAAUACCGGAUGGUUGUCUGAAUCGCAUGGUUCAGACAUAAAAGGUGGCUUCGGCUACCACAUACAGAUGAACCCGCGGCGCAAUAGCUAGUUGGUGAGGUAACGGCUCACCAAGCCGACGAUGCGUAGCCGACCUGAGAGGGUGAUCGGCCACACUGGGACUGAGACACGGCCCAGACUCCUACGGGAGGCAGCAGUAGGGAAUCUUCCGCAAUGGACGAAAGUCUGACGGAGCAACGCCGCGUGAGUGAUGAAGGUUUUCGGAUCGUACAGAUCUGUUGUUAGGGAAGAACAAGUGCCGUUCAAAUAGGGCGGCACCUUGCCGGUACCUAACCAGAAAGCCACGGCUAACUACGUGCCAGCAGCCGCGGUAAUACGUAGGUGGCAAGCGUUGUCCGGAAUUAUUGGGCGUACAGGGCUCGCAGGCGGUUUCUUAAGUCUGAUGUGAAAGCCCCCGGCUCAACCGGGGAGGGUCAUUGGAAACUGGGGAACUUGAGUGCAGAAGAGGCGAGUGGAAUUCCACGUGUAGAGGUGAAAUGCGUAGAGAUGUGGAGGAACACCAGUGGCGAAGGCGACUCUCUGGUCUGUAACUGACGCUGAGGAGCGAAAGCGUGGGGAGCGAACAGGAUUAGAUACCCUGGUAGUCCACGCCGUAAACGAUGAGUGCUAAGUGUUAGGGGGUUUCCGCCCCUUAGUGCUGCAGCUAACGCAUUAAGCACUCCGCCUGGGGAGUCCGGUCGCAAGACUGCAACUCAAAGGAAUUGACGGGGGCCCGCACAAGCGGUGGAGCAUGGGGUUUAAUUCGCAGCAACGCGAAGAACCUUACCAGGGCUUGACAUCCUCUGACAAUCCUAGAGAUAGGACGUCCCCUUCGGGGGUAGAGUGACAGGUGGUGCAUGGUUGUCGUCAGCUCGUGUCGUGAGAUGUUGGGUUAAGUCCCGCAACGAGCGCAACCCUUGAUCUGAGUUGCCAGCAUUCAGUUGGGCACUCUAAGGUGACUGCCGGUGACAAACCGGAGGAAGGUGGGGAUGACGUCAAACCAUCAUGCCCCUUAUGACCUGGGCUACACACGUGCUACAAUGGACAGAACAAAGGGCAGCGAAACCGCGAGGUUAAGCCACUCCCACAAAUCUGUUCUCAGUUCGGAUCGCAGUCUGCAACUCGACUGCGUGAAGCUGGAAUCGCUAGUAAUCGCGGAGCAGCAUGCCGCGGUGAAUACGUUCCCGGGCCUUGUACACACCGCCCGUCACGCCACGAGAGUUUGUAACGCCCGAAGUCGGUGAGGUAACCUUUAUGGAGCCAGCCGCCGAAGGUGGGACAGAUGCUUGGGGUGAAGUCGUAACAAGGUAGCCGUAUCGGAAGGUGCGGCUGGAUCACCUCCUUUCUAA
rnacentral:rRNA from 1 species